GAACGCUGGCGGCGUGCCUAAUACAUGCAAGUCGAGCGAACGGACGAGAAGCUUGCUUCUCUAAUGUUAGCGGCGGACGGGUGAGUAACACGUGGAUAACCUACCUAUAAGACUGGGAUAACUUCGGGAAACCGGAGCUAAUACCGGAUAAUAUUUUGAACCGCAUGGUUCAAAAGUGAAAGACGGUCUUGCUGUCACUUAUAGAUGGAUCCGCGCUGCAUUAGCUAGUUGGUAAGGUAACGGCUUACCAAGGCAACGACGCAUAGCCGACCUGAGAGGGUGAUCGGCCACACUGGAACUGAGACACGGUCCAGACUCCUACGGGAGGCAGCAGUAGGGAAUCUUCCGCAAUGGGCGAAAGCCUGACGGAGCAACGCCGCGUGAGUGAUGAAGGUCUUCGGAUCGUAAAACUCUGUUAUUAGGGAAGAACAUAUGUGUAAGUAACUGUGCACAUCUUGACGGUACCUAAUCAGAAAGCCACGGCUAACUACGUG
rnacentral:rRNA from 1 species